GGUCCUCUAGGAUUGUAAAAUCUCUUUCACCGGGGACGUAUAAUGACGGUACCCGGAGAAGAAGCCCCGGCUAACUUCGUGCCAGCAGCCGCGGUAAUACGAAGGGGGCUAGCGUUGCUCGGAAUUACUGGGCGUAAAGGGCGCGUAGGCGGAUCGUUAAGUCAGAGGUGAAAUCCCAGGGCUCAACCCUGGAACUGCCUUUGAUACUGGCGAUCUUGAGUAUGAGAGAGGUAUGUGGAACUCCGAGUGUAGAGGUGAAAUUCGUAGAUAUUCGGAAGAACACCAGUGGCGAAGGCGACAUACUGGCUCAUUACUGACGCUGAGGCGCGAAAGCGUGGGGAGCAAACAGGAUUAGAUACCCUGGUAGUCCACGCCGUAAACGAUGAUUGCUAGUUGUCGGGCUGCAUGCUGUUCGGUGACGCAGCUAACGCAUUAAGCACUCCGCCUGGGGAG
rnacentral:rRNA from 1 species